GCGGUUAACGACAUGCUCACUUUACUUGGACGUUUUCUAAUCGUCUUCUUUGGAAUAUGCUUUCAAGGUCUGUGAAGCCAAACUUGAUGCUGGGGAUUUAUUUUUGUCAGUGGAGUCAAAUGGUUGAAGCAGAAUUUGCCCGUCUUACAUCUGUUGACCUGAAAGGGUUCCUUUUUGCUGUGCUUGACCAUUAUGGAGAGGUUCGUGGAGCUGUACAAAAUCAAGAGCGGCAUAGGAGGGCUAACUAGGCU
rnacentral:lncRNA from 1 species